AAUACCUCCUAGAGUGGCUGACUGGUGAGUAACACGUGGUGGACAUACCCUCGGAUGGGGAUAGCUAAUUAGAAAUAGUAGAGUAAUACCGAAUACGAGCACAGGGGUUAGAGGAUCUGUGAGGAAAGGAGCUAAAGGCUCCGCUGAAGGAAUGGCCUGCGGCCCAUUAGCUAGUGGUGAGGUAAGAGCCCACCAAGGCGAUGAUGGGUAUCCGGCCUUAGAGGGUGAACGGACACAUUGGGACUGAGAUACGGCCCAGACUCCUACGGGAGGCAGCAGCUAAGAAUAUUCCGCAAUGGACGAAAGUCUGACGGAGCGACGCCGCGUGGAUGAAGAAGGCCGGAAGGUUGUAAAAAUCCUUUUGAAACUGAAGAAUAAGCGUUGUAGGGAAUGACAGCGUGGUGACAGUAGGUUUUGAAUAAGCAACGGCUAAUUACGUGCCAGCAGCCGC
rnacentral:rRNA from 1 species